AGUGAAGCGGCAACAGCUCAAAUUUGAAAUCUGGCCCUUGGGUCCGAAUUGUAAUUUGUAGAGGAUGCUUUUGGUGCGGUGCCUUCCGAGUUCCCUGGAACGGGACGCCAUAGAGGGUGAGAGCCCCGUCUGGUUGGACACCAAUCCUCUGUAAAGCUCCUUCGACGAGUCGAGUAGUUUGGGAAUGCUGCUCUAAAUGGGAGGUAUAUGUCUUCUAAAGCUAAAUACCGGCCAGAGACCGAUAGCGCACAAGUAGAGUGAUCGAAAGAUGAAAAGCACUUUGAAAAGAGGGUUAAAUAGUACGUGAAAUUGUUGAAAGGGAAGCGCUUGUGACCAGACUUGAGCCCGGUUAAUCAUCCAGCCUUCUGGCUGGUGCACUUGGCCGGCUCAGGCCAGCAUCAGUUCGGCGCGGGGGAUAAAGGCUUCGGGAAUGUGGCUCCUCCGGGAGUGUUAUAGCCCGUUGUGUAAUACCCUGUACUGGACUGAGGUUCGCGCAUCUGCAAGGAUGCUGGCGUAAUGGUCAUCAGCGACCCGUCUUGAAACACGGACCAAGGAGUCGUCUUCGUAUGCGAGUGUUCGGGUGUCAAACCCCUACGCGUAAUGAAAGUGAACGCAGGUGAGAGCUUCGGCGCAUCAUCGACCGAUCCUGAUGUUCUCGGAUGGAUUUGAGUAAGAGCAUACGGAGCCGGACCCGAAAGAAGGUGAACUAUGCCUGUAUAGGGUGAAGCCAGAGGAAACUCUGGUGGAGGCUCGCAGCGGUUCUGACGUGCAAAUCGAUCGUCAAAUAU
rnacentral:rRNA from 1 species